AAGUAGAGCCCGGGACCGCCGGGCCACCACCGGCCGCCUCAGCCAUGGACGCGUCCCUGGAGAAGAUAGCAGACCCCACGUUAGCUGAAAUGGGAAAAAACUUGAAGGAGGCAGUGAAGAUGCUGGAGGACAGUCAGAGAAGAACAGAAGAGGAAAAUGGAAAGAAGCUCAUAUCCAGAGAUAUUCCAGGCCCACUCCAGGGCAGUGGACAAGAUAUGGUGAGCAUCCUCCAGUUAGUUCAGAAUCUGAUGCAUGGAGAUGAAGAUGAGGAGCCCCAGAGCCCCAGAAUCCAAAAUAUUGGAGAACAAGGUCAUGUGGCUGUGUUGGGACAUAGUCUGGGAGCUUAUAUUUUGACUCUGGACGAAGAGAAGCUGAGAAAACUUACAACUAGGAUACUUUCAGAUACCACCUUAUGGCUAUGCAGAAUUUUCAGAUGCAGAACCCACAGGUUCAGAGGGCCAGCUGUGCUUUGAAAAUAUUAGCUUGCGUUUUAUUAGAAAGAAAACUCUGAGGCCAGGCGCGGUGGCUCACGCCUGUAAUCCCAGCACUUUGGGAGGCUGAGGU
rnacentral:lncRNA from 1 species